UAUCUCUGUAGAGUCUGCAUAUCAAUAAGCGGAGGAAAAGAAACUAACAAGGAUUCCCUUAGUAACGGCGAGUGAAGCGGGAAGAGCUCAAAUUUGAAAUCUUCAAGGUUCUACCUUGACGAAUUGUAGUUUAAAGAAGUGUUUUCUGUUAGAUGAGUAGCAAAAGUUCCUUGGAAUGGGACAUCAUAGAGGGUGAGAAUCCCGUAUUUGGUUAUUCAUUCUAGCUUUGUGAUACACUUUCAAAGAGUCGGAUUGUUUGGGAAUGCAGUCCAAAAUGGGUGGUAAAUUUCAUCUAAAGCUAAAUAUUGGCGAGAGACCGAUAGCGAACAAGUACCGUGAGGGAAAGAUGAAAAGAACUUUGAAAAGAGAGUUAAACAGUACGUGAAAUUGUCAAAAGGGAAGCGUUUGACACCAGUGUUGUUUUUCCAAAAUCAAUUACGAACUGGCUUGAUUUUGUGUUGUAUUGACCUUAUCAGCUUUCUGCACUUUUUUCGAGUCUUUCUUAAUGCACUUUUCGGUUAACAAGUCAACAUCAAUUUCUUUUGUUGUAAAAGAGUAUUCGGAAGGUGGCUUUCUUUUCGGAGAAAGUGUUUAUAGCCCUAUACUUCUACAAUCGGAGAGAUUGAGGUCUGCAGCGUAGAUCCUUCGGGGUUAGAUACAUUUGUGCUAAGUUGUAGCUUUUCAUAGACAACUUGUUGACUAUGUUUAGUCAUGCGGCUUACUCGCUUAGUGCUAUUUUACCUACGCUUAGGAUGUUGACUGAUAUGUAGUCGUA
rnacentral:rRNA from 1 species